GUAGCUCCAUGGCCGGAGAAUAAAGGAAAGGCGUUUUCAGCCAUGCCAGUGUGCACUGUAAAUAAGAAUGUGGCUGGAUGGCUGUUUCCAUGAGGCUGGGAAAGAUGACUACAAGUAGUUCCGGUUUGCCAGCAGUUACAGCCACUCAUUCCGGGAACAGUGCUUCUUCGUGUGUGGAAGGGGAGAAACCACAUCGCCGAUGGCAAUGCCACUUCCGGUGUUGGAGGUAUCACACAGCACACCUGCAUAUGGCUUCAUCUGUGGCUGUCACACUCACGGGUCUCACUCUGUCACCCAGGCUGGAGUGGAGAGGCACUAUCAUAACUCACAGAAGCCUCGAACUCCUGAGCUCAAGCAGUACUCUGGC
rnacentral:lncRNA from 1 species